rnacentral:antisense_RNA from 1 species
AAGAGCACGACAUUGCUCACAUUGCUUCCAGUAUUAAGUUGCCCGCUUCUGCGGGCUUUUUUUU